GGAGCCAAGAUGGCGUAGUGCGGCGGGGACGAGGAGCAGGGGACGAGGGGACGAGGGGACCUUGUCCUCUCCGGCGCCAUGGAGCGGAGGGGAGCGCGUCCGGAGGUCAGCGGGUUAUUCUCCGGACGGGUCCCCGGCCGCUGCGGCUCCUCGUCCCGGAGGUUUCCCGGGAAUCAGCGCUGACACAUUCAGUCCCCCCCCCCCUUGUGUUUACCAUUGUGUGCAGCUGCAGCUCGAACCUCAAACAUCUGCAGCGUCGCGGAGAAGAACUCGUUCCAAGAUGAUAAACCAGCUGAAGCCGGGACUGCAGGAUCCUCCAGGACGACAGGAACAUCCAGACCUUCAGAUCCGCCCUGGCACCACAGACAGGCGUCUCCCACCACCACAGAGAUCAGUGGAGGUAAAGAAUGAAGCAUCACGGACACGAUGACCUCUUUUGGGAUUUUGGGACACUGGAGCUCUCCUUCCCGCUGUAGCUGGGACAUCGGUCCUCUCUCCUCCACAGCAUCCGCUCUCAUCCUGGCCUGCUUCUGAAGUGUGAUCAUCCACGGGGACGUCUUCCAAGAUCCUCUUCCGUCCCACACACUCCGACUACGUCCCCAUGUAACCUUGAGUUUCUACACUGGCUCUAUUUGUCUGAAGUCUCCAGGAUUUAGGGAUUUUCAGUCAGAUUUGAGCAAGAUUGAUUCCAGGUCACAUGUAAACAUAGUUACUAUGUGUUUACAGUAAAAUCCCACUGUUAUAGGUCAAGAGCCGGUUGAUGAUGAACAAAUCAGCUGCUCCUCUAUUCUGCAAAGAAGGUAAAGACACAAGAUACUGUAGCAAAGAUCAAGGCCUGUGAUUAGAUCCGACUCACGGGGGGUUCUUCUGUAGUUUUUUGCACUACCUCAGUGCCGUAACAAGCCCAACAGGAGAGUGAGAGACGGGUGGGACCAGUACCUGAAGCUCAAUGGUUGUCAAGUACCACAGCAGAUUUAAAUAUUGUUCCCGGAUUAGUCUGGUUUAUAGGUAGAGCAUCCACACAUGAGGCAGUCGACUGGUGAACAGGAGCAAAACAACCCAAGCACAUGAUGCACAUUUACUUUCAUUUCAGCCUUUUUGAGUAACGCCCUCAAACUGUGGUCUCCUAUGCAUCUGUUCUGAAGGAAGGUCACAAGGUCGUCUUUUCACCCUAUGCUCUCAUUUUGGAUUUAUUUAGUUCUCCUUUGUCAAGUCCGCAGGUUUAUUCACAAAUAGCAGGUAGAGACUCAAUUAGUGACACUGACCUUGUGACUCGAGAUCCCAAAAAUAUGGAAACUUCUAGUUUAGAAUGUGUCGUUUCUCUCUUCCCACUUAAAAUAACAUUUAUGUUCUCAUUUGAUCAUUUUCAUGAUCUCAUAAGAGAUAUUGUGUAGCCAUCGUGUUUAAAUUCUGCCGACAGAAGUGAUCCUUUGAUUCCUUACAUUUCAUCAAUUAUGAGACAAACAUUAAAUGAAAACAGCUUUUUGAUGUGUCCAGUAAGUCGAGAGACACCAGUGCUGAAGUAGCAUCUAGCACUGGUUCUUACAUGAAGGAAACCCUGGCCCCAUUUUUUUCUUUCCUUUCACAUUUUUGUGAAAGAUAUACUUUAAAAAUCAAAAUUUUCCGGGAUUUGUGCAAUAUUUGAUCCUAACUGUCAUGUUGUUGACCAAACUGUAUAUUGUAUAAACAAGUGACAAGUUGUUCGAAAGCAACAAGAUCACCAAUGUCUUCCAUUAAGAUUUGUAUAGACUCAUGUGCAUUAACCAGCCUAUUAAGCGGGACUGUGGUGCCACAUUAGUGUAGCCAUGCAUGACCAGUAGUGAUGUUUGCUUUAUGACGAGUAGUGAAAUCAGUUCUCUAGACUAAGCUGGAGCUCAAAACUAUGGAAACCAUUUCAGUCAAAGUCAAGGGUUGUAGACUGACGUUCUAAAUCUUUGAAGACACCACGUCCAGAUUCAGCUCGGCCUGAAAACACGAGAUAUGCAGAUUUAUAGUAUUCAUUGAAGUCGACUCACAUAUGCCCAAUAUAUAACUAAGUGUUGUUUUACUCUUCUUAGAACUUUUAUCUUUAAAAAAAAAGCUUUAGAGAUAUUCUAACAUAUUCUCAUGCAUAAAAAGAAUUAGUAAAUUUUUGAAUAACAACCAUAAAGUUCCAAUGAAUAAAACCUUAAUAAAAGAGUAUUACGUUCAUCCUGGAUUAGGAGCUAAUUGGCCGGUGGUGUUUCAGCUCUAGAAUUAAGAUCUCACCAUGACAUCGCAUUGUACAUAAUACCUCAUAGUUUUGGGAUUCAAAGUGUUAUAAUUCAAUCCAUACAAUUAUAUUUGAUUAGAGUUUUAGAAGCAAUAACCUACAAUAAUGCAUGAGUUCAGUGCCAGGGUGUAAGUGUUCAAAGGAUUCCGUGCCGUGGAAAGGACAACCACCGCCUCUUUACGCUUAAUGUAGCCGUCUAUCUAUUGGUCACUUUUCUGGCGAGUUGUUUAGCUUUAGAGAACAGUAUCUCUUCUUAAGGUCUGGGAUACUUCCUGCAGAACUACGUGCAUGUGAGGACUGCUGUAGCAUAACAGUAUUUACAAGUUUACCGAAACACUUAUAUUUUUAGAGACUAUUUUCCCUGCCUUGUAUUUUUUCAAACACAAAAACACAAUAAUCUAAACCAACAUAGGAGACGCUUUAAAUGAUAAUUCUUCUUGUAGCAUUUUACAUCCCAAAAAAAACCCAUUCCUUUAAAAAAUCCAGAUUUCCAGUAACUCUGUAGCUGUGAAGCAAGUUUACUGAACCAACUUGACACUUUCUUGAAAGGUACUCUCUCUCUCUGUGCCGACUUGCACCAUCAUCCCCAGCCUCCUGUCUUGAAAACUGUAAACUAAAAACCCUGUGAUGCUCUUUGUGGGGAUUUAUAAUCGCAAUUUAUAAGCAAGUAGGCGUCUAGCGACUUGAAUAUAUGGGUUCAAAAAAUAUGCAUGACUAAGCAGAAUAAAGAAUGAUUUGUAUUGCAUGCAAUAAUCCAACUGUGUAAUGUGAAUGGGUGUAAGUAGGAUGUUGAAAUGUUCAUGUCAGGUGUUCUGUGACAAGGGGACGGUGGUUUGAUUCUACUUGAGGAGCGUUGAGGUAGUUUUGUCAUCGUGGUUUUCACAGACUGCGCAGCACCACAAAGAAACGAUGGAGUGUUUCAAGUGUUUCUGCUCUCACUCUCUGCUGAGUCAUACGUGACCAUGGCAGCGAUGCCACAGUGCAGCUCAACAACCCGAUCAACCUUUGUUCCCAUGAAAAAAAAAAACGACAGUCAUAUAAGCCUGGGUAAGAUUAAUGAUGUUACUUUGUUUGAUCAACUUCUCCACCGAGGGGGUGGACUGUGUAGAAACUAUGCACUUCAGACGGAGGAAGUGGGCAUGCUUAUUAUGUGUAAGCCUCUUGUCUGGUUUUGUAUUAACAAAGGAAAAAAAAAAAGAAUCUAUAUCAGAAAUUCAGCAAUAAAAAGCAGCAUGGUGCCAA